rnacentral:rRNA from 1 species
UACGUAGGUGGCAAGCGUUGUCCGGAUUUAUUGGGUUUAAAGGGUGCGUAGGUGGUCUAUUAAGUCAGUGCUGAAAUAUCCCGGCUUAACCGGGAGGGUGGCGUUGAUACUGAUGGACUUGAGUGGAGUUGAGGUAGGCGGAAUUGACGGUGUAGCGGUGAAAUGCUUAGAUAUCAGGAGGAAUACCGGUGGCGAAAGCGACUCUCUGGACGGCAACUGACGCUGAGGCACGAAAGCGUGGGGAGCAAACAGG